GUACAUUCUGCAUCACAGCAAUCUGAACGAGAAACCAUGCCAAAUGUACUGCUAGUUAAUACCCUCAAAUUCAGACGAUACCCUCAGGAAGGUCUUCUACACCCUCUCCAAAGACUCCGCGUACUUCCUGUGGUGCAGUGACCAGAGCCUGGCACAAUACUCCAUAUCUGGCCUGAGCGAAGAUCAGAGAACUGAAGAAGGCUAUGUGGAGUCCUCUGCCAUUGAAAGUAGCAUCAAAGGAUGAAGUAAAAACCAAGGCUAUACCUGUCUUGUAUUCCUACUGUAGAUAUUUAUCUGCUACUCGACAUUGCCAAAAUUUCUUUGCACAAUUUUUUUUUUCAUUUGCUGUUUGGUGGAGCUUGCUGGGUAUAUAUUGGAUUUCCCUAAAUUAAAAUAAUAAAUUAAUUAACAGUUAAUUGGCUGUGAUGUACUGUGAAAUUCCAGCAUCUAGAUCAGGAGUUCCCAAACUUUUCGUUAUGCCAUGGACCAAUACCAUUAAGCUAAGGGUCCACGGGCGCCAUGUUGGGAAUCCCUAAUUAUAAAUACAAAUUCCUAGUUACUUAAAUGUCUUCAUAAUUAUUGUGGAACUGAACUCAUUCCAUAAAUGCGCAGGUACCAUAACAGCCAGUUAUCUAAUAGUUAAAUUACAAUUUCAUUAAUAAUCAAGAAGUAUGAAUUCAAAUCCCACCAUAAGAAUUUGAGUCUGCAGUUUAAAAAACAUUAUUGUAAAUUUGACCUGAAAAUUCCAAUGUAGUUUAAAAAAAAGAUGAUUAAUUCACUAUUGUUCUAUAGGGAAAAUGAACUACUUCCUUAACCAAUCUGUCUUCUGGCAGACUCCAAAUGGAGUGUAAACAGCCCUGUGGGGUUUUCUGGCUAGCCAAUUAAUUAUAUCAAGCCUCUCAUUGAUCAGCCAGGGAUGAGCAAUAAAUAUUAGUCACAUCAACUAGGACUACAUCCUGAGAAUGAAGAAAAUGCUUUGCUACUUUGCACUAUCAACCUAUCUAUUAUAAUGCACCAACUCUUUAGGUUCUGUUUGGUUGGUUAUGUUGUACAAGAAUCUGUUUCUGACGCACCUCUGCCUUAUGCAUGUAUGAAUUAAACAAUGAUCCUUUAUUUUUUCUUAUUUUUUCCCCUUUUGAACAGUGAACAUAAAAGCAGUUAAAUCCUUG